rnacentral:rRNA from 1 species
GACGAACGCUGGCUGCGUGCCUAAUACAUGCAAGUAGGACGCAGUUGCUAACGGGUGAGUAACGCGUAGGAACCUGCCUAUUAGAGGGGUAUAACUAUUGGAAACGAUAGCUAAUACCGUACGCUAGUAGAUGGACCUGCGUUUUAUUAGCGAUUAGGUAGGGUAAUGGCCUACCUAGACGCCGAUACAUAGCCGACCGGAAAAGAUGAUUAGUCACACUGGAACUGAGACACGGUCCAGACUCCUACGUGAGGCAGCAGUGGGGAAUAUUGUACAAUGGGCGAAAGCCGGAUCCAGCCAUGCCGCGUGUGUGAAGAAUGUCUUCGGAUUGUAAAGCACUUUAAGUUGGGAGGCGUUACCAACAGAAUAAGCACCGGCUAACUUCGUGCCAGCAGCCGCGGUAAUAC